rnacentral:rRNA from 1 species
CCUACGUGAGGCAGCAGUGGGGAAUAUUGCACAAUGGGGGAAACCCUGACGCAGCGACGCCGCGUGAGGGAUGAAGGUCUUCGGAUCGUAAACCUCUGUCAGCAGGGAAGAACGGUCACUGUGCUAAUCAGCAGUGAAUUGACGGUACCUGCAAAGGAAGCACCGGCUAACUCCGUGCCAGCAGCCGCGGUAAUACGGAGGGUGCGAGCGUUAAUCGGAAUUACUGGGCGUAAAGCGCUCGUAGGCGGUAUGUCAAGUCAAGGGUGAAAUCCCCGCGCUCAACGUGGGAACUGCCUUUGAAACUGGCAAACUGGAGUGUGUGAGAGGAUAGUGGAAUUCCAGGUGUAGGAGUGAAAUCCGUAGAUAUCUGGAGGAACAUCAGUGGCGAAGGCGACUAUCUGGCACAUAACUGACGCUGAGGAGCGAAAGCGUGGGUAGCAAACAGGAUUAGAUACCCCUGUAGUC